rnacentral:rRNA from 1 species
CAAGUCGAACGCGAAAGUGGAGCAAUCCAUGAGUAGAGUGGCAAACGGGUGAGUAACGCGUGGGUGACCUGCCUUCGAGCGGGGGAUAACGUUCCGAAAGGGACGCUAAUACCGCAUGACAUCCUGCCUUUGAAGAGGCGGAGAUCAAAGCUGGGGAUCGCAAGACCUAGCACUCGACGAGGGGCCCGCGUCUGAUUAGCUAGUUGGUGGGGUAACGGCUCACCAAGGCAACGAUCAGUAUCCGGCCUGAGAGGGCGGACGGACACACUGGGACUGAGACACGGCCCAGACUCCUACGGGAGGCAGCAGUGGGGAAUUGUUCGCAAUGGGCGCAAGCCUGACGACGCAACGCCGCGUGGAGGAUGAAGAUCUUCGGGUCGUAAACUCCUUUCGAUCGAGACGAACGGCCUCCGGGUAAACAAUCCGGAGGAGUGACGGUACCGAGAGAAGAAGCCCCGGCUAACUCCGUGCCAGCAGCCGCGGUAAUACGGGGGGGGCAAGCGUUGUUCGGAAUUACUGGGCGUAAAGGGCUCGUAGGCGGCCAACUAAGUCAGACGUGAAAUCCCUCGGCUUAACCGGGGAACUGCGUCUGAUACUGGAUGGCUCGAGUUUGGGAGAGGGAUGCGGAAUUCCAGGUGUAGCGGUGAAAUGCGUAGAUAUCUGGAGGAACACCGGUGGCGAAGGCGGCAUCCUGGACCAACACUGACGCUGAGUGAGCGAAAGCCAGGGGAGCAAACGGGAUUAGAUACCCCGGUAGUCCUGGCCCUAAACGAUGAAUGCUUGGUGUGGCGGGUAUCGAUCCCUGCCGUGCCGAAGCUAACGCAUUUAAGCAUUCCGCCUGGGGGAGUACGGUCGCAAGGCUGAAAACUCAAAGGAAUU